rnacentral:rRNA from 1 species
UCUGGUGAUUAUGACACAGUGGACACACCUCUUCCCAUCUCGAACAGAGAAGUUAAGCACUGUAGUGGCGAAGAUAGCCUCCGGGUCAAAAUAGCACGUCGCUGGGC